GAUGAACGCUGGCGGCGUGCUUAACACAUGCAAGUCGAACGAGAAGUGAAGACGGAAACCUUCGGGCGGAAGGCUUUAUUUCGAGUGGCGGUCGGGUGAGUAACGCGUGGGUAACCUGCCUCAUACAGGGGGAUAACAGUUGGAAACGACUGUUAAUACCGCAUAAGACCACAGCACCGCAUGGUGCGGGGGUAAAAACUCCGGUGGUAUGAGAUGGACCCGCGUUCGAUUAGCCAGUUGGCGGGGUAACGGCCCACCAAAGCGACGAUCGAUAGCCGAUCUGAGAGGAUGACCGGCCACAUUGGGACUGAGACACGGCCCAAACUCCUACGGGAGGCAGCAGUGGGGAAUAUUGCACAAUGGGGGAAACCCUGAUGCAGCGACGCCGCGUGAGUGAAGAAGUAUUUCGGUAUGUAAAGCUCUAUCAGCAGGGAAGAAAAUGACGGUACCUGAGUAAGAAGCCCCGGCUAACUACGUG
rnacentral:rRNA from 1 species